UAUGAGUGCUCCAAGCGUUAUCCGGAAUUAUUGGGCGUAAAGGGUGUGUAGGUGGUUCUAUUAGUCAGAUGUUAAAACUUCCUGCUUAACAGGAAAAAGGCAUUUGAAACGGUAGAACUAGAGGAUGCGAGGGGUCUGUAGAACUCAUGGUGUAGGGGUGAAAUCCGUUGAUAUCAUGGGGAAUACCAAAAGCGAAGGCAGCUGACUGGCGCAUUUCUGACACUGAAACACGAAAGCGUGGGUAGCGAAUGGG
rnacentral:rRNA from 1 species